ensembl:lncRNA
CUUAAAGAAUCACAGGCUGUAGAACAGUUCACAGUUGAAGUGCUGUAUGAAUAACUGAAAAGUCCCACUUGGGAUUUAAUCAUUUUUUACUACAGAAGUCAGGUAUGAACUGCAGCAGAUAAACCUACUGCAAAAUUGCAGAGACGGAAGGUAGGACAUCUGCAGAAUGGGAAGAUGGCUCCUCCUUCCAGAAAGUUACUCAGAGCCAGCAACAUCAGAUGGAGAGCUGUAAUCUGAAGGGUCCUGUAACAAAGUGCCCCAAGCAUACUUUCAGUAAAAGGCUUGAUUCUACCACCUUUUUGGCUUGAGUUCUACACAGUGGUACAUGAUUUCCUGUAUCAUGAGUGAUAGCUUAUUUGUAGAGAAGGUGGUAUUUGAAACUCUUUUGUACUACAGCUCAGAUAAAUACUUGAACAGAUUCACAGAAUGA